UCGGUUGAUCCUGCCGGAGGUCACUGCUAUCAGUGUUCGACUAAGCCAUGCAAGUCAAAUGUUCUUCGUGAACAUGGCGGACUGCUCAGUAACACGUGGAUAACCUGCCCUUAGGAUUGGCAUAACACCGGGAAACUGGUGAUAAUACCGAAUAGACCAUUUAUGCUGGAAUGCUUUUUGGUCAAAAGGCUUCGGCUGCCUAAGGAUGGAUCUGCGGCCUAUCAGGUAGUAGUGGGUGUAAUGUACCUACUAGCCUACGACGGGUACGGGUUGUGAGAGCAAGAGCCCGGAGAUGGAUUCUGAGACAUGAAUCCAGGCCCUACGGGGCGCAGCAGGCGCGAAAACUUUACAAUGCGGGAAACCGCGAUAAGGGGACACUGAGUGCCAGCAUAUUAUGUUGGCUGUCCACAUGUAUAAAAACCAUGUGUUAGCAAGGGCCGGGCAAGACCGGUGCCAGCCGCCGCGGUAACACCGGCGGCCCGAGUGGUGAUCACUUUUAUUGGGUCUAAAGGGUCCGUAGCCGGUUUAAUCAGUCUUCUGGGAAAUCUGACAGCUCAACUGUUAGGCUUUCAGGGGAUACUGUUAAACUUGGGACCGGGAGAGGUAAGAGGUACUACAGGGGUAGGAGUGAAAUCUUGUAAUCCCUGUGGGANCACCAGUGGCGAAGGCGUCUUACCAGAACGGGUCCNACGGUGAGGGACGAAAGCUGGGGGCACGAACCGGAUUAGAUACCCGGGUAGUCCCAGCCGUAAACGAUGUUCGCUAGGUGUCAGG
rnacentral:rRNA from 1 species